GUAUUACUGAACCAAAGCAGUUAGCUCUGUUCAAAUUUGGCACCACAGACCCACCACCGUUAGCUGAGGUGCUCCCUCACCCCAGGGCUGCCUGCAGCCUGGAGACGUAUGAAUAUUCACAGUGACAGCGGCAAGGUUAUCACCUUACAAAAGGGACAUCCAAUGCUUUACAUCUCUUUGAUGUCUGUUAAGGCUGGGACAAUGCACACACUGCUAAGGGAGGGGAAAAAAAGACCGGAGCAGAGAGGAAGAGGGAUAAGAGCAAGUGGGAAGAAAUGAGGGCAACAAACACACUCACGGAACACAGCUUGAAGAUGAAAAACAACAGGAAGAUUAAAGAAGAAAUCGUACAGAAGGCAUGCUGCAAACAACCAGAGUUGGGAACAGGCCAGGCAAAGAGCCGGGCACUGGCUGCACUACCUUCUCUCAGGUUUUAGACAUUGUUUGGAGAGCUGUGUGUCUGUGACAGGACUGGAAGCGAUGCCCAGCUCUGGACUAUCUGCACUGAAUGCUCAGGAUGCCCAGUGCUGUGAAGAUCUGACUCCUGGCUACGAGAGAAAGUUGCUCACUUCUGUGAUGACAACUGCAUCAUUUGCUAAGGUCAGUCUGAGAAGACUUAAAAUUAGAUGAAAGCAC